rnacentral:tRNA from 1 species
GGCUCGUUGGUCUAGGGGUAUGAUUCUCGCUUUCGGUGCGAGAGGUCCCGGGUUCAAAUGCCGGACGAGCCC